rnacentral:rRNA from 1 species
UACGAAGGGGGCUAGCGUUGUUCGGAAUUACUGGGCGUAAAGCGCACGUAGGCGGCUUUGUAAGUUAGAGGUGAAAGCCCGGGGCUCAACCCCGGAAUUGCCUUUAAGACUGCAUCGCUUGAACGUCGGAGAGGUGAGUGGAAUUCCGAGUGUAGAGGUGAAAUUCGUAGAUAUUCGGAAGAACACCAGUGGCGAAGGCGGCUCACUGGACGACUGUUGACGCUGAGGUGCGAAAGCGUGGGGAGCAAACAGG